UGGGCCAACAACUUGCUCAACAUUCUUCUGAGUCUGACGGGCUGGUGGAGUGUGAGCGUGGCUCCUAAAUUUCUUGGGUAGGACUGAAGAAGCACUUUUAAGAUGUGGAAACUCAGAGAGGAUGCCACUGUUUUGAACUAUUUUGAAGGCACAGCCACCAGAGCUUUAGGGACAGGGUAUUUUAUCACAGCAACAGAAAUGAAACCAAAACAACUCCACAAUAAAAUUCUUGAGUUUCUUGGGGCCAAGAAGAUGACACGAUAAGAUAAAGACACUGGCCAAGCAUGACCUCCAGAGUUUGGCCCUUGCAUAAAGGAGAAAAUUAAUUCCUUCAGUUGUUCUCUGACCUCCACAUGCGUCCUGUAACAUGGGUGUAUGCAUACACAUAAACACACAUCCACACGUUGUUAAAUAAAUAAAAAAAAUAUGUUAACAGUUC
rnacentral:lncRNA from 1 species